rnacentral:rRNA from 1 species
GAUGAACGCUGGCGGCGUGCCUAAUACAUGCAAGUCGAGCGAACAGACGAGGAGCUUGCUCCUCUGACGUUAGCGGCGGACGGGUGAGUAACACGUGGAUAACCUACCUAUAAGACUGGGAUAACUUCAGGAAACCGGAGCUAAUACCGGAUAAUAUAUUGAACCGCAUGGUUCAAUAGUGAAAGACGGUUUUGCUGUCACUUAUAGAUGGAUCCGCGCCGCAUUAGCUAGUUGGUAAGGUAACGGCUUACCAAGGCAACGAUGCGUAGCCGACCUGAGAGGUGGUUCGGCCACACUGGAACUGAGACACGGUCCAGACUCCUACGGGAGGCAGCAGUAGGGAAUCUUCCGCAAUGGGCGAAAGCCUGACGGAGCAACGCCGCGUGAGUGAUGAAGGUCUUCGGAUCGUAAAACUCUGUUAUUAGGGAAGAACAAAUGUGUAAGUAACUAUGCACGUCUUGACGGUACCUAAUCAGAAAGCCACGGCUAACUACGUG